AUGUCUGUAAUGCAGUAUCAUAGCCAAUGAGGUUAAUCUGAGGCGUGAUUAUUGCUAGUUGAAAACUUUUCCCAAUACCCUGCCAUGAACUGUAAUGCUGAGAACCAGGGACCACACAUGAAAUGAUUGGCAACUGCUUCCCCAG
rnacentral:snRNA from 1 species